UCCCAGGGGGCAACUCCUGGGGGAAGUGGCGAAAGGGGCAGUAAGGCAUGGACAACCUGCCCCGAGGUCCGGGAUAGCCUUCCUAACGGAUGGGUAAUACCGGGAGUGGUAGCGAGGGGGCAUCCCUUUGCUAGCAAAGCUCAGGCGCCUCGGGAGGGGUUCAUGUGAUAUUAGCUUGUUGGUGGGGUAACGGCUCACCAAGGCCAAGAUGUCUAGCAGGUGUGAGAGCACGACCUGCGCCACUGGCACUGGGACACUGGCCAGACUCCUACGGGAGGCUGCAGUCGAGGAUCUUCGGCAAUGGGCGCAAGCCUGACCGAGCGACGCCGCGUGAGCGAUGAAGGCCUUCGGGUCGUAAAGCUCUGUCGAGGGGGAGAAGAGCCGCAAGGCUUGAUCGACCCCUGGAGGAAGCACGGGCUAAGUUCGUGCCAGCAGCCGCGGUAAGACGAACCGUGCGAACGUUAUUCGGAAUCACUGGGCUUAAAGGGUGCGUAGGCGGGCCGGAAAGUCAGG
rnacentral:rRNA from 1 species